rnacentral:lncRNA from 1 species
AUGUUUGAAAUAUCUGUUAUUUUAGCACUUUAUAUUAUUAAUUUGGGUCUUCUCUUCCUCUUUCCACCUCCCCUUCCCUUUGCUCUCUCUUUUAUGUGCACACACAUAGCCAAGCAUGUGGAGUGUGUGUGUGUGUGUGUGUGUGUGUGUGUGUGUGUGUGUUUCAUGUCUUGUCUUCAGAUGACUUUAUGGGUCACAAGAUAAUUCGAAACCCUCUGAAAACCUAAGAAUAUAAGGUUUCUGCAGUCAGUUGCCUGCUAGAUUGAUGUACCUUAUUCUGAUUUGGGUUAAGUAAAUCAUGCGCAAAAAGAAGAAAAAAGAAGAAGGGAAGAGUAAUGCACAUUUAUUUCAUGCCAACUACUCUUAGGCAUCGAUUAGAACAAUUUGGCAUGUGUUGUGUCUUAAACCUAAAAACCUUCCCAAGGGAGGUGUUAUGAUAUCCUUUUGUAGAUGAAGAAGCUGAGGACCAGGUGGAGUAUUUAAAAUCACAUGCAUUUUUAUUUCCAGCUUUCUUCUUCUCUCCACCAUUGACUAGGCCCUCAUCACCUGGAUUCUUGUCAUAAUCUCUGAAUUUGAGACACUUUCUCAACUGGAGCCCCUUAUUUGAACCACUGAACAAAGAACAUGAUUUGAAUGAUGAAUUUCACCAACGCUUCUAAGGAUGGAACAUAACUAGAACCAUUCUCAAUGCAGAAAAGGGAAACUCAUCCAAUAAUUAGAAUUCUUCUAGAAUUCUAGAUGCAGAAGACAUAAUUUUCUUCAUUGCAUGCAAUGGAUACCUUGGAGCUAAUUAUCUUCUGUUACAAAACUCCAGCUCUUCCAGAGGCUUCUAGAAUGAGGUUCCUGAGAACCGCUGGAUACCAGCCUAUUCCCUUCUGAAAAGUCUCCUUUUGACUUUCAUUGGCUUCCCUUGGUUAUGUGGGUCUCUUGCUAAAGCCUCCCCCUCAGAGACACUUUACUAAAGUAGAUCUUCUAUUCCCAUUAGUCUCUGGAUCCUAGUUAUUUCCUCCCCAGUAAUUAUUACAAAGAACACUUACGGUGUUUAUUUGUUUGCUUAUUUGUAAACGAUCUUCUCUCAUUGGCAGGUAAACUCCACAAAAGGCAGAGGCUUGUCUUUCUUGUUUACCACUGGAUCGCCAGCAUUGACAUCAUGAGUGGAUAGUAUGUUCUCAGUAAAUUUCAAUGGGAUUGAGUAAGUAUCAAUUAAUCAUACGAUUUAUCAAGUCCCAGUAAGAACUUUGCACAUAUAAAAUAAAAUAGUUAUGUAUAACCCUCCUCCUACACACACACAAACACACACACACACACACACCCCAGAAACAUCCAUGUUUUGGUUUUUCUCUGUUUUUCCUUAACUUCCUGAACUUAGCAUGCCGUGAAACUGCUCUUCCCAACAAGCAGGAUCAUUAAAUAUUCAGCCCAGUUUAUCUUUGCCUGCUCAGAUCACGUUAGCCUGAAGGCCUCAGCACAGUCUUGUGGGAAGAACAGGGAUCUCCUGGAUGAAUGGCAGGAAGCCC